rnacentral:rRNA from 1 species
AUUAUUUAUUAAAAUUCUUUUAAUUUAAAUUUAAUUUAAAUAUUCAAUCCUUUCGUACUAAAAUAUUUUACUUAUUUAAAGAUAGAAACCAACCUGGCUCACACCGGUUUGAACUCAGAUCAUGUAAGAUUUUAAUGAUCGAACAGAUCAAAAAUUUUUAAACUUUUGCAUUUAAAUUUUAUCUUAAUCCAACAUCGAGGUCGCAAACUCUUUUUUUUAUUUGAACUAAAAAAAAAAAUUACGCUGUUAUCCCCAAGGUAAUUUUUUCUUACACUCAUUAAUAAUGGAUCAAUAUAUUCAUUUACCUAUGUUUUUUUUAAAAAAAAGUUUUAUUAAUUUUUUAAUCACCCCAAUUAAUUAAAUUAUAUUAUAAAAAUUAAUUAUACUUAUAUAAAACUUUCUUAAUAUAAUUUAUAAAACUCUAUGGGGUCUUCUCGUCUUUUAAAUUUAUUUUAACUUUUUAAUUAAAAAAUUAAAUUUUAUUAUUAAUAAAGAGACAGUUUAUAUCUCAUCCAAUCUUUCAUACAAGUCAUCAAUUAAAAGACUAUUGAUUAUGCUACCUUUGUACAGUCAAAUUACUGCAGCCCUUUAAUAUUUAUCAGUGGGCAGAUUAGACUUUAAAUUAUUACUCAAAAAGACAUGUUUUUGAUAAACAAGUGAAUAUAAAUUUUUGCCGAAUUCCUUUUUCUUAUCUUAUAAGUAUUUAUAAUCUUAUAUAUUUAUUAAACUUAUACUAAUUUUAUCAUUAUAUCUUAUUUUUUACAAUUAAAAAUUAUUUUUUUAUAAAAAAUUAAAUUAAUUUUUUUUUUAAAUUUUAUUUUUAAUUAAAAUUAUUUAUAAUAAAUUAUAAUUUUUAAACAAUAUAAAUUCUAAAAUUUUUAUUUUAAAUUCAAUAAUUAUAAAUAUUUUAAUUUAAAGCUUAUCCCUUAAAAUAUAAAAAUUUAAUUUAAAUUUAAUUUAUUAUAUUAAAUUAAUUUAUUAAUUAAAAUUAAAAUUAAAUUUUUUUCUAAAAAAACUAGAUAUAUUAAAAAACGAUUAACAUCUCAUUUCAAAUUAAUUAUUAAAAAUAUUUAUGUAACAAUAACUUUCAUAAUUAAUUAUCUCUUUUUAAUUCGAGAAUUAUUUAAUUAAAUAAUUUAUUUAAUAAACUCUGAUACACAAGAUACACUAAUUCAAAAUUACUUUUACUAUACUUAACUUUUUUUAUUUCAAAAUUAAUUUACAUUACUAUUUAUCUAUAAAUUUAUUAAUUUUUUCUUUAUUAAUACUAAAACCCCCCUUUUUAAUAUUAAAAAUACUUUUAUUAAUUAUAAUUUAUUAAUUUUCCCCCUAUUCAAAUUAAAUA